UGCAGUCGAACGAAGUAGCAAUACUUAGUGGCAGACGGGUGAGUAACAUGUGGGUAUCUUCCCUUUGGCCUGGAAUAACACGAGGAAACUUGUGCUAAUACUGGAUAAGUCUUUACGGAGAAAGCUUUAUGCACCAUUGGAUGAGCCUGCACUUGAUUAGUUUGUUGGUGGGGUAAUGGCCUACCAAGACUUUGAUCAAUAGCUGAUUUGAGAGGAUGAUCAGCCACAUUGGGACUGAGACACGGCCCAAACUCCUACGGGAGGCAGCAGUGGGGAAUCUUGCACAAUGGAGGAAACUCUGAUGCAGCGAUGCCGCGUGAGUGAAGAAGGCCUUUGGGUUGUAAAGCUCUUUCGUCGGGGAAGAAAAUGACUGUACCCGAAUAAGAAGGUCCGGCUAACUUCGUGCCAGCAGCCGCGGUAAUACGAAGGGACCUAGCGUAGUUCGGAAUUACUGGGCUUAAAGAGUUCGUAGGUGGUUGAAAAAGUUGGUGGUGAAAUCCCAGAGCUUAACUCUGGAACUGCCAUCAAAACUUUUCAGCUAGAGUUUGAUAGAGGAAAGCAGAAUUUCUAGUGUAGAGGUGAAAUUCGUAGAUAUUAGAAAGAAUACCAAUUGCGAAGGCAGCUUUCUGGAUCAUUACUGACACUGAGGAACGAAAGCACGGGUAGCGAAGAGGAUUAGAUACCCUCGUAGUCCAUGCCGUAAACGAUGUGUGUUAGACGUUGGAAAUCUAUUUUCAGUGUCGCAGCGAAAGCGAUAAACACACCGCCUGGGGAGUACGACCGCAAGGUUAAAACU
rnacentral:rRNA from 1 species